AUAAGCGGAGGAAAAGAAACGCAACAGGGAUUGCCUCAGUAACGGCGAGUGAAGCGGCAACAGCUCAAAUUUGAAAUCUGGCCCCCCGGGUCCGAGUUGUAAUUUGCAGAGGAUGCUUUUGGCGCGGUGCCUUCCGAGUUCCCUGGAACGGGACGCCAUAGAGGGUGAGAGCCCCGUACGGUUGGACACCAAGCCUGUGUAAAGCUCCUUCGACGAGUCGAGUAGUUUGGGAAUGCUGCUCAAAAUGGGAGGUAUAUUUCUUCUAAAGCUAAAUACCGGCCAGAGACCGAUAGCGCACAAGUAGAGUGAUCGAAAGAUGAAAAGCACUUUGAAAAGAGGGUUAAACAGCACGUGAAAUUGUUAAAAGGGAAGCGCUUGUGACCAGACUUGCGCCCGGUGAAUCACCCAGCUCUCGCGGCUGGGGCACUUUGCCGGCUCAGGCCAGCAUCAGCUCGCCGUCGGGGACAAAAGCUUCGGGAACGUAGCUCUCUUCGGGGAGUGUUAUAGCCCGCUGCACAAUACCCUUCGGCGGGCUGAGGUACGCGCUCCGCAAGGAUGCUGGCGUAAUGGUCAUCAGCGACCCGUCUUGAAACACGGACCAAGGAGUCAACCUUAUGUGC
rnacentral:rRNA from 1 species